ensembl:lncRNA
CUUCAAACACAUCCACUUAUUUAGGAAGUAAAUGAGGGCCAUCCUAUGAAAUGGAUUGACAGUAAGAUAUUCUAAUUAUUCAUUCUGUUUCUAGCAUUUGACAGUGAGCAUGGGGAUUCCAGUGCAGAGGAAACCAUUUCUGCUUAAUGACCCUGGCUGCAGUGAAGAUGAAAUAGAUGUGGCUUCCUCCCUCCAUCCCUUAUCCUGGCCUCAUCAGAAUCACAGCUUCUUAAGGGCUCAAUGGUAAAGAAUCCACCUACAAUGCAGGAGACUCAGGAGACUCCGU